rnacentral:snRNA from 1 species
ACUCUUUAGGGCAAGCUGGUUAUGACAUUUGUCACACCAUUGAUUGCCAGGCUUGAUUCAGCUGUUCUGGCUGGCUUUGAUGGUGUCUCCUUCCUCUCUCAUCACUGCAUGUGUGUCCUUCCCAAAGCUGCAUGCUCAGUCAAAGAGGACAACCUUCCUGAAUAGAGGAGGACCUUUCUUAGGUCAAGGGUACACAAGUAGCUGCUCUUCCCUGCUACAACCUCCAAGCAAGCUCAAGGUUCUAAAGCAUUGAACUGCAACAAAUGAUUGAGAAAUACACUUUGCCUUAAGGACCUUCUUUUGUUGUUAUUAUU